GCAUUGGUGGUUCAGUGGUAGAAUUCUCGCCUGCCACGCUGGGGGCCCGGGUUCGAUUCCCGCCAAUGCA
rnacentral:tRNA from 1 species